rnacentral:rRNA from 1 species
ACUCCUGCGGGAGGCAGCAGUGGGGAAUAUUGCACAAUGGGCGCAAGCCUGAUGCAGCCAUGCCGCGUGUGUGAAGAAGGCCUUCGGGUUGUAAAGCACUUUCAGCGGGGAGGAAGGCGAUACGGUUAAUAACCGUGUUGAUUGACGUUACCCGCAGAAGAAGCACCGGCUAACUCCGUGCCAGCAGCCGCGGUAAUACGGAGGGUGCAAGCGUUAAUCGGAAUUACUGGGCGUAAAGCGCACGCAGGCGGUCUGUCAAGUCGGAUGUGAAAUCCCCGGGCUCAACCUGGGAACUGCAUUCGAAACUGGCAGGCUUGAGUCUUGUAGAGGGGGGUAGAAUUCCAGGUGUAGCGGUGAAAUGCGUAGAGAUCUGGAGGAAUACCGGUGGCGAAGGCGGCCCCCUGGACAAAGACUGACGCUCAGGUGCGAAAGCGUGGGGAGCAAACAGGAUUAGAAACCCCGGUAGUCC